rnacentral:rRNA from 1 species
AUACAGAGGGUGCGAGCGUUAAUCGGAAUUACUGGGCGUAAAGCGCGCGUAGGCGGCUUGGUCAGUCGGAUGUGAAAGCCCCGGGCUCAACCUGGGAAUGGCAUUCGAUACUGCCAGGCUAGAGUAUGGGAGAGGGAAGUGGAAUUUCCGGUGUAGCGGUGAAAUGCGUAGACAUCGGAAGGAACACCAGUGGCGAAGGCGACUUCCUGGCCCAAUACUGACGCUGAGGUGCGAAAGCGUGGGGAGCGAACAGGAUUAGAAACCCUAGUAGUCC